rnacentral:rRNA from 2 species
UACGAAGGGGGCUAGCGUUGUUCGGAAUUACUGGGCGUAAAGCGCACGCAGGCGGUUUGUCUAGUCAGGAGUGAAAGCCCGGGGCUUAACCCCGGAAUAGCUCUUGAUACUGGCAGACUUGAAUCACGGAGAGGGUAGUGGAAUUCCGAGUGUAGAGGUGAAAUUCGUAGAUAUUCGGAAGAACACCAGUGGCGAAGGCGACUACCUGGCCGUUGAUUGACGCUCAUGUGCGAAAGCGUGGGGAGCAAACAGG